UUGUAGGACAUUUAUUUGGGUUGAUGAUGAUGACAAUUAUAAGCAACAAAUUAAACAAUUUACUAAUAUCUUUCCUUAAUGGCGGUGACAGUGUCACUUUUGUAAAAAUAAUAUAAAAAUUAUGGCGAUCGUUGCCAAUUGUUUUCAGACUACCGAUACACGCAAAUCAUCCAGAAUUAUUUCCAAAAUGAUAAAAAAUGUGAUGAUAUUUGGCGCUGGAUUGUAUACAGGAGUGUAUAUAGCACAAAACUAUCAGGCACAUUGUACAUGCAAGAAGAAUGGAUAGCUAUCAUUUGAGCCGAUAAAGACCUUUUUAAACCACUUGGAUUAUAUGACAGAUCAGGAUACAAUUGCCACAAUCGUUCCGAAAAAUGUACAAGACUGUGACAGAGGUCUAGUAAGAGCUGAUUGAUAAAGUGGAAGACCCAAAGGCGCUCCUAGAAAAAGCACAAGCAUAUAUUAAAUCUAAAACAGAUGGUAGCAAAUAGAUAUAAAUUAUAAUCUGACUAACUGAACAUACAAUGUAAUAAAAACGUUAAGAAGUAAUGAACAUU